AGUGAACGCUGGCGGUAGGCCUAACACAUGCAAGUCGAACGGCAGCACAGUAAGAGCUUGCUCUUACGGGUGGCGAGUGGCGGACGGGUGAGGAAUACAUCGGACUCUACUUUUUCGUGGGGGAUAACGUAGGGAAACUUACGCUAAUACCGCAUACGACCUACGGGUGAAAGCAGGGGAUCUUCGGACCUUGCGCGAUUGAAUGAGCCGAUGUCGGAUUAGCUAGUUGGCGGGGUAAAGGCCCACCAAGGCGACGAUCCGUAGCUGGUCUGAGAGGAUGAUCAGCCACACUGGAACUGAGACACGGUCCAGACUCCUACGGGAGGCAGCAGUGGGGAAUAUUGGACAAUGGGCGCAAGCCUGAUCCAGCCAUACCGCGUGGGUGAAGAAGGCCUGCGGGUUGUAAAGCCCUUUUGUUGGGAAAGAAAAGCAGCAGGUUAAUACCCCGCUGUUCUGACGGUACCCAAAGAAUAAGCACCGGCUAACUUCGU
rnacentral:rRNA from 1 species